rnacentral:rRNA from 1 species
GCUAAGUGCUGUCCAGCGGCGUCGGGAAUGCGGAGGGGGCGAGCGGUAAUCGGAAGUGCGGGGCGUAAAGCGUGCGCAGGCGGUUCGUUGUGUCGGCGGUGAAAGCCCCGGGGUCAACCUGGGAAUGGCCGUUGAAACUGGCGAACUGGAGUGUGGCAGAGGGGGGUGGAAUUCCGCGUGUAGCAGUGAAAUGCGUAGAGAUGCGGAGGAACACCGAUGGCGAAGGCAGCCCCCUGGGCUGACACUGACGCUCAGGCACGAAAGCGUGGGGAGCAAACAGGAUUAGAUACCCGUGUAGUC